rnacentral:rRNA from 1 species
GACAGAGGAUGCAAGCGUUAUCCGGAAUGAUUGGGCGUAAAGCGUCUGUAGGUGGCUUUUUAAGUUCGCCGUCAAAUCCCAGGGCUCAACCCUGGACAGGUGGUGGAAACUACCAAGCUAGAGUACGGUAGGGGCAGAGGGAAUUUCCGGUGGAGCGAUGAAAUGCGCAGAUAUCAGGAGGAACACCGGUGGCGAAGGCGGGUCUCUGGGCCGUAACUGACGCUGAGGAGCGAAAGCGUGGGGAGCGAACAGG